GCGGGAUUAGUUUAGUGGCAGAACGACUGCUUCCCAAGCAGUAGGCGGGGGUUCGAUUCCCCCAUCCCGCA
rnacentral:tRNA from 1 species